rnacentral:lncRNA from 1 species
UUGUAAGAGAGCAAGGAUGGGGUAAAUAGGGGGGAUUUGAAGGGAAGAAAGAGAAAGGGAGAAUGAUCUAAUUGUAUGAUAAUCUCAAACACUAGAAGAAAAUGAAAUAUAAACAAAAGUAAAACAGGAGGCACUAGCUCUGCCAUCCCUGAUUGUACACACUGCAUUGUUCUCCCACAGGGUACCCAGGGGUGCAGCGGAUGAUGUGGCUGUGGCUCAAGGAUUCUGGCUGAAGAUGACGUUGAUGUCAAGCUCACGAGUCUUGCUUUCCAGUGGUGCUGGAGGUUUCAGACACUUUCCCUAAGAGGCAUGUUGUGUUUGUUCAUGUUCUGAUCUUGAUGCACAUGUUUGGCAAGUUCCCAUCACUGUGGCAAAGAUGCCUGAGGCAGGUGGCCAUAGAGUUGUGAGAGCAGCUGUGGUCUGUGAAGAAAGUGCGAUUGAAGUUCAAGAAGAACAAGUGUGACAGGCAAUGAAGUUUAGAUGGUUGGGGUUCAAGAGGAAAAUGCAUGACAGUGCAUACAGUUACCUGUGGAGACCAGAAGAUGUCAGAUGUCCUCCAAUUGUCUAACACGUGCUAUUGUCUCGCCAGCAAGAACACACGCGUGAGAAACCGGAUCCUUCUGCAGCAACUUUAUUACACCAGUUUCAACAUGAAGAGGAAGACCCCAA